UACGUAGGGUGCAAGCGUUGUCCGGAAUUAUUGGGCGUAAAGAGCUCGUAGGCGGUCUGUCGCGUCUGGUGUGAAAAUCCAGGGCUUAACCCUGGACCUGCAUCGGGUACGGGCAGACUAGAGUGCGGUAGGGGAGAUCGGAAUUCCGGGUGUAGUGGUGAAAUGCGUAGAGAUCCGGAGGAACACCAGAGGCGAAGGCGGCAACCUGGCUCGGUAACUGACGCUCAUACACGACAGCAUGGGGAGCGGAACGGG
rnacentral:rRNA from 1 species